ACAACUACAGGAUAUGCGUGGAAACUGGAGAAUGAAAGCAAACGAACCUGCUGAAAAUCUACAUGUGGUAAUAUCAGUACAACACCCCGAACUCGGUAACUAUUUCACUGCCACAUUGAUUGCUAAACAAGUGACCUCUUUAACGCCAGUGGAUCAUUCACGAUUCUUCUGGUUGAUGCCUCAUAAAGUUGCAUUGUGGAUUUAUUGGCACGCUCUCAAACUCUGGUGGAAGAAUGUUUCCUUUGUACAACAUCCGAGAUAUCAGAAUCCCAAUUAUAGAGAAGAAGCUUUACUGCGCGACGAAAAGAUUCAAAAUUGCCCAUUAUUUGGAAAUAAUGAAGCAGACGACUUUCAAAUACAAGGAACACCGUCUGAUCCAGCAGCCAAACUGCCAAGCAAUCGCUGCUUUGAUUGGAGAGACGCUGAAUGGCCCUGGUGCUGAAUUUCUACCUGUCACGACUCGGUUAUUGUCUAUCUCGAAAAAUUGCAAAAUGAAGAAGGGGUGGAGAUUCUGAAAAUCAAAUAAACAGUUACUAUGUAUGUACUUCCGAUUCUUUUGUUUGAUUUGUACGGUUUAUUUUACGGAAUCAAGUUAUGAUUAUUUCAUAAUGAUAUAUGUUGGGUGAUCAAAAUCUUGAAUGACACUUUUGAAUUUAACAUUAUAAAUCGAUGUAUAUUUUAGUUGGCC